GAUGAACGCUGGCGGCGUGCCUAAUACAUGCAAGUCGAGCGAACAGACGAGGAGCUUGCUCCUCUGACGUUAGCGGCGGACGGGUGAGUAACACGUGGAUAACCUACCUAUAAGACUGGGAUAACUUCGGGAAACCGGAGCUAAUACCGGAUAAUAUAUUGAACCGCAUGGUUCAAUAGUGAAAGACGGUUUUGCUGUCACUUAUAGAUGGAUCCGCGCCGCAUUAGCUAGUUGGUAAGGUAACGGCUUACCAAGGCGACGAUGCGUAGCCGACCUGAGAGGGUGAUCGGCCACCCUGGAACUGAGACACGGUCCAGACUCCUACGGGAGGCAGCAGUAGGGAAUCCUCCGCAAUGGGCGAAAGCCUGACGGAGCAACGCCGCGUGAGUGCUGAAGGUCUUCGGAUCGUAAAACUCUGUUAUUAGGGAAGAACAAAUGUGUAAGUAACUAUGCACGUCUUGACGGUACCUAAUCAGAAAGCCACGGCUAACUACGUG
rnacentral:rRNA from 1 species